UCCCCCUUAAUAAUGCAACAACAAGCAUAUUAUCAAGUUAUCAAGUUAUAAUUUUUCUCCCCCUUUGUCAAUUAAGGCAAAAAGGCAGAAAACAAUUCCUCCCCCUAUGUUAAAGAACAUAAGCAUAGGAAAUGAAAGCAUAUAACUUGUAUAUCAGAUCAGAACAAAGCAAAUAUGCAACAAAUGUAGUAUGGCAGUAUUUAUAUGAUAACAAUUAAUAAAUUUGCUCAUACAUAUAUAUAUUAUUAACAAAAUAUAAAACAGCAAAACAGCAAGACAAACAAAAUAAGACAUCACAAAUAAGGAACUUGACCAUCUAAUCUCCUAAAGUGGGCUGGUUCUCACUAUCAUCUAGGGGAGAGGUAGAGACCGCUGUAUUACCCUCAGCAGGUGUCUCCUCACCGUGAGUCGCAGACCGAUCUAGAGGAUCUGGCUGUGGUUCCUCAGUUGCUUGUCGACCAAUAUGCGCUAUGUCUUCAAAAGAUAGCUUGAGGCCUAGAUGCGCUUGAAUUGCAGCAACAUCCUGAACAACUGAUUUCAGGGAUGUUUGGAUAGAUGUCAAAGUAGCUUCCAUCCUUGCAUUAGACUCUAGUAUUUUGGCGUUGUGUUCCAUUUGAGCUGCCAUAAAUUCCAUCAGUUUUGAAACAAAUGCAGGAGUCUCAGCUGCUGAUUCAGAGGCUUGUGGAGGAGUUGGUUCAACAUUUGGCAUUGGUCUAAUCCAAACAUUGUCUACUUUCUUCAGUUUCAUCUGAUUCACAAUCGCUUCGCCGAAGAUAAGUGUAGUCUUUGCAGAUUCUUCAUUCAAAAACGAUACCUUGAAGUGCUUGAGAACCUUUGUAACCAACUGCGGAUAAGGCAACAUGAGCUUACUGUGUGAAGCUUCUAACAUGUGCCUUAGCACAAUCCACGUCCAACUCAUCUUAAGCUCCUUGGACAAUCCCCAUAACAGUAUAAUAUCAAGCUUCUGAACAACCGCAUGAUUUCCUGAUCGAGGUACAAGCAUUCUUGUUAAUGUAUACAUGAGCAUGCGUUGCUGUACCUUCAUCUGACCAAUUGGCAAUGAGAUGGUUUCCACAAAACCAUCAACCAUGAUGUCUUUCACUGCAGUGUGCCUGUCCAGCGAUGCUUCCCAACCUUCGUCGGCUGCAUCCGCAUCAGAACUGCCGUCUAUUGAUUGUCCAUGAAAUGGCAAUCCUGUCAACUCAGCAAAGUCUUCAAAAGACAUUGAUAAUUUUUUACCUUUAACCUGAGUUUUGAACCCGUCAUCAGUGAGCUUGAAAUUUGCAUAAAAUUCCCGUAUCAAUUUCGGAUAGCUGUCCAAAGUAGAUGAAAGAAAACCUUCAAGACCAUGAAAUCUCAGAUGAUCUUGGAAUGUGAAACCUUCUGUAUCAAAGAAACCAAAGUCUAGGGUUCUGCCUUCAUGAAUUUUCCGUUUAAGAAACUCUGAUGGAAUGGUAACUUCUACAUCCUUAUCUUUAGGUGCUGGAGUUUUCUUAGCUAGGGGUGAUGUAACCGGCUUCUUUUUCUUCUGAGCAAUUUCUUUCAUAGCAUCAGCCAACAACUUCUCACUUGGUGGUUCCUUCCUUUUCUUGAUCUUUUCUGGAAUAGGAGCAGGAGCCUUGCCCUUGUCCUUUGCAAGAAUUUUGUGUGUAGGAAUCGGAAUUCUUUUAGACACAGUAGGUGGCGGAGAGGGAGUUUCACUGGUUGAAGAUGAUGAAGGUGAAGGAGUAUGGGCUUGUGUUUGUUUCACGCGGGCCAUGGUUGCAAAUAGAGGAGAUGAGUGAAGAUAGAGUUCAGAUAUAGUUGCAGAUAUCAGUUGCAGAGACAGAGGAAGAAGAUGAAGCAGAGAAAGAAAAUAUAGAAAUCUGGGUUGAAACAGUGAAGAAAUCGAUUUAGACCUGUUCGUUUUUAUACUUUUACCCUUAUCAAUCGAUUGCCCAAUCGAUUUGCUUACCGUUACACCGAAUCCUUAAUCGAUUGUGUAAUAAUGAUGUCCAACGGCUAGUAAAAAAGUACGCAACGGUCAUUUUCCUAAUCGAUUCCCAAAUCGAUUUGCCGUGUUACUUAAUCGAUGUCCAAAUCGAUUGUCCCAAAAGUCAAAUACUGAACACUUAAUCAAUCGAUUUCCAAAUCGAUGCUCGGGAUUGUUACAAAAUAUUUUCCACAAAAUCUGAAGUCUGGGCUAACCAAAUCGAUUCCCAAAUCGAUUCUUUAAACAAACAAAGAGCAAACUCGAAAUCGAUUACUCAAUCGAUUUAAUCCCAAACAAAACUUCUGAUUAACUGCCAUUGACUCUUUUUCUCUGUCAUCAACACAACUAUGUUGACCAAUCUUUCUUCAUUUAAUCUUCAUUUAAUGUUAAAGACAAGAUUCUCAUACUUGUCUCAUUUCACGUGUCUUGAGCAUCCACUUUCAAAUAUCAAUCUUGCUUGGUGGAUGUCAAGUACACCUGCAAAAACAUAAUUAAUUUUUGGAUCUAGGUACCCAAUUCAGAUUGGGUCCUGGGGGGUCAGUCUUAAACACAGAUUCUUUUGCUAUCCAAACUUGCUUCCAUCCUUGAUUGGCUAAUUUUUUAAAUUUGCAAUUAGACACAAAAUGUCCCUUUCUACAACAGAAAUGACAUUUGCCAUCAAAGGAUGAAUAUUUGUUUGGUUUAGUAAAGGUGUCAUACAUACUCUUAGCAAUAAAAGAUGUUUGACCAUGUUUGACAUUUCUGGUUUGCAUAUAACCAAUACCAGAUCUGUUUUUAUUUUUUCUUUUGACAUGCAUAUUUGGUGUAUAUCCUAAACCAGAUUUUUCAUAAACAUGUCUUUGAUUGCUAAGCAUGACAUUCAGCUUAUCUUUACUAUUUGCAAAAUUUAAUAAAUCAGAUUUUAAAGAUGCAAUAGUAUCUUCAAGUUCAAUGCACUUUGCAGAUUUUUCUUGUGAAUCCUUUUUCAGUUGUUCACAUAAAUUUUCAAUUUCUUUGUGUUCAACAUUCAUUUGUUCAAGCAUUUUCUUUGUGCUUAACAACUGUUUUAUGGAUUUCACAUAAUCAUCAUGCAAUUCAUUGAAAGCUUCUUGAAGCUCAUCAUAUGUUGGAUUAAAUUGCGAACUAACCUCACUGUCAGAUUCUGAAUUAGUGUGAGCCAUGAGACAUAAAUUCACUUUUUCUUCAUCCGAAGAGGCAGAGGACUCAUCGUUAUCGUUGUCACUCCAUGCAAUAUAUGCUCUUUUGGCUUUGUGAGCUCUAUUCUUGUUCUUCAGUUUGUAGCAUUCCGACUUUGUGUGACCAAUCUUACCACAUUCGUAGCAUGUAACUGUCUUGAUGUCACUAGUCUUAGAGCUGGAUGGUUUUCUGAAUUUGUUAUCUUUCUUCUUCAGAAACUUCUUAAAUUUCUUGACAAGUGAUUCGAUUUCAGUCUCUUCUUUUUCACUGCUGGAUCCAUCUGAGUAACUAUCGGAUUCAGGUUUAGAUUGCUUGGUUUGUACUUUCAAGCAUAAUCCUUUCUUUUUCCUGCUUUCCAUUUCGGAUUCAUCCAGUCGUUGUAAUUCCAUUUCAUGUUCCCUCAAUUUACCAAAUAAUGUUGCUGUCGUUAUCUUUGCUAGAUCCUUAGACUCAGCUAUUGCGGUAAUCUUGGGCUGCCAUUCUCUGGUUAAACAUCUCAUGAUCUUUCCAAUCUGCUGUUCAUUAUCCACAUCUUUUCCUAGUGCAUGCAGGUUGUUGACUAUGUGUGUGAAUCUGGUUUGCAAAUCGCUGAUUGACUCUUCUUUCUUCAUGCUAAAUAAUUCAUAUUCGUGCAUGAGCGUAUUCACACGAGCUCUCUUAACAUCAGUAGUACCUUCGUGAGUUUCUUGGAGGAUGUCCCACAUCUCUUUUGCUGACUUGCAAUUGGACACUCUAAAGAACUCUUCUGCACAUAGGGCGGACGUGAUGAUGUUCUUAGCCUUCGCAUUGAAACCAACCUUCUUCUUGUCAUCAUCUGACCAGUCGGCUCUAGGCUUGAUAAUCAUUGAGUUGUCAGUUCCUGCAAUCUUGGGAAUGUACGGACCGUUUUCAACAGCAUCAAGGAUAUCUAUGCCACUUGCUUCCAGAAAUAUGAGCAUUCUUUGCUUCCAGUACAUGUAGGCUGUACCGUUGAAAGCUGGUGGUCGAGCUAACGAAGCGCCUUCUCCCAGAACGUCAGUUGAGGCCAUCUUCUUAUAAGUUUUACCUCUCAAGAAGUUAGCUCUGAUACCAAUUGUUGGUAUCUUGACCUCGAAAUAACAGAAAAUAUAUCAGUUUUCGUUACCAAAUUAAUCAGUAUCAAGUGCACAGCGGAAUUUAAAUUUUGAGGCAUGCAAAGUUAGCAAUAUAGAAAAUUAAAGAGAGAGAGUUAGAGAAGAAAACACAGAGAUUUAUCCUGGUUCGGUUGUUCCACAACAACCUACGUCCAGUCCUGAAAAUCCAAUCGGAUUUCAGAUUUUCUUCUCCUUCAAUAGAAAGAAUCAAUUACAAAGAUUUUCCAGUUUCCUCCCUGAAACCUAUCAAUCUCUAAUUAUAUCUUUCCUAUUGAAUACCCUCUGAUCCUUGAAGACACUCAGCAGCCUAUCACAGAAUCAAAGUGCGACUCUUUCUUGUUGAGCCCUCUCAACCAAGAAAGUAGCCACCAGUUUCGAGCUGGCUUUUCUUGCGUUCUAUUUCGUUCAAAGAAUUAUUACAGAAAGAAUAAAAGACUGUAAAACAAAAGGGUCUUCAAUCUUUAUGAAUGUUGCUCUUCACAAAUCUGGAUAUUCAUGGAUUGUUCUUGAGCACAUUAUCAUUUCUCUUAGAUUGUCAACAAACUGUAUUGAGAUCUGUAAUCACAAUUAUGAAGUUGUUAGUUUGUUGUUAUGAACAGCUAAGAGCGUUGUGAGAAAUUAUGAAAGUUAUGAAAAUGUUGUGUUAAAGUUCUAAGAAGUUGUUAGAAUAAAGAUUGAAAGACAUCUUAUAUAGUUUCUGAAAAACCACUUACGAAAUCGAUUUCCCAAUCGAUUUUGUAAAGUUAUAAAAUGAGCUAAAUCGAUUUGCCAAUCGAUUAUCGCGAUCUUGGUUUUCUUUAAUCUUGAAACUAUACAAGCUAAUCGAUUUACCAAUCGAUUCUUUAAAACAACACUUUUCAGUAAAACAUAUCCAGACUUGCAUAAAUCGAUUUCCUAAUCGAUUGCUGGGAAACUCUCUUAAUAAAAGUAACUUCAAUCGAUUACUCAAUCGAUUUGCCAAACUUCAGAGUCGAUGUAUAAAACCACGGAGUCGAUUUGGUCACAAUCUCAGAGUUCACUGUGUUUUCAAAAAGUUUAUUUCAAUCGAUUUGCCAAUCGAUUGUUUUCAAAACAGUGGCUCAGGUUUUUGAUGUCAAUCGAUUUGCCAAUCGAUUUAAUAGCAUGUUCCUGAAAAGUUUUUACCUGGUGUUUAGUUCAAUCGAUUUCCCAAUCGAUUGCAACCAAACUUUAACAAAAUUAAAAGUGUUAACAAUAGAUUGUCCAAUCGAUUGUAUUUGUCACAGGUGAGGUCAUUUUUCAAAUAAUACUUUGUCAAUCGAUUUGCCAAUCGAUUUAAUAGCAUGUUCCUGAAAAGUUUUUACCUGGUGUUUAGUUCAAUCGAUUUCCCAAUCGAUUGCAACCAAACUUUAACAAAAAGAAAGUGUUAACAAUUGAUUGUCCAAUCGAUUGUAUUUGUCACAGGUGAGGUCAUUUUUCAAAUGAUAUUUUAUCAAUCGAUUUGCCAAUCGAUUCCCUCAGCACUGGAGUGCCACUGUGACUCAUUCAAUCGAUUUACCAAUCGAUGUGUUACCAUCAGGUUUGAUUUGUGAAAUGUUCAAUCGAUUUACCAAUCGAUUACUCUCCAAAUCAGAGGCUACUGACUUGUGCAUUUUUCAUUUUUAAUUAAUCUAAUCGAUUGCCUAAUCGAUUGCACAUUCACAAACACUUAAGAUUUCCUUACACCCUUGUUAUGAAAUCGAUUUCCCAAUCGAUUUACAUAUUCAGAAUUCAACUUUUGUUGAUUUCUUGUGUUCCAAGCAAUUGAUCCAAGUGUGUAGGAUUGAAUUGGUGUUCCUGAAAUUUUGCUCAAUUGAAAUAUUAGAUUUAUCAUAUUAAGUAUGAAUAUUGUUGAAUUGUGAAUUAUGUCAAAAUUAGGAAUCAAAGGAUCAAAAUCCAACAAUCUCCCCCUUUUUGGCAUAAUUGACAAUUCAUACAAUUGUAACUUGAGCAUAUCAAACCAUUUCAAAAUCAUACCAAAGAAACCAAUUCAUAGCAUUAAAUAUGUACCAAUACAGAUCAUCAGAGCAUGUGUCAAAAUGUAUCAAAUCAGCAUUACAUUAUUAAGUAUCAGAGCAAAAACAAACAACAUCAGAUGCUCCCCCUUAAUAAUGCAACAACAAGCAUAUUAUCAAGUUAUCAAGUUAUAAUUUUUCUCCCCCUUUGUCAAUUAAGGCAAAAAGGCAGAAAACAAUUCCUCCCCCUAUGUUAAAGAACAUAAGCAUAGGAAAUGAAAUCAUAUAACUUGUAUAUCAGAUCAGAACAAAACAAAUAUGCAACAGAUGUAGUAUGGCAGUAUUUAUAUGAUAACAAUUAAUACAUUUGCUCAUACAUAUAUAUUAAUAAAACAUAAAACAGCAAAAACAGCAAGACAACCAAAAAUAAGACAACACAAAUAAGGAACUUGACCAUCUAAUCUCCUAGAGUGGGCUGGUUCUCACUAUCAUCCAGGGGAGAGGUAGAGACCGCUGUAUUACCCUCAGCAGGUGUCUCCUCACCGUGAGUCGCAGACCGAUCUAGAGGAUCUGGCUGUGGUUCCUCAGUUGCUUGUCGACCAAUAUGCGCUAUGUCUUCAAAAGAUAGCUUGAGGCCUAGAUGCGCUUGAAUUGCAGCAACAUCCUGAACAACUGAUUUCAGGGAUGUUUGGAUAGAUGUCAAGGUAGCUUCCAUCCUUGCAUUAGACUCUAGUAUUUUGGCGUUGUGUUCCAUCUGAGCUGCCAUAAAUUCCAUCAGUUUUGAAACAAAGGCAGGAGCCUCAGCUGCUGAUUCAGAUGCUUGUGGAGGAGUUGGUUCAACAUUUGGCAUUGGUCUAAUCCAAACAUUAUCUACUUUCUUCAGUUUCAUCUGAUUCACAAUCGCUUCGCCGAAGAUAAGUGUAGUCUUUGCAGAUUCUUCAUUCAAAAACGAUACCUUGAAGUGCUUGAGAACCUUUGUAACCAACUGCGGAUAAGGCAACAUAAUCUUACUGUGUGAAGCUUCUAACAUGUGCCUUAGCACAAUCCACGUCCAACUCAUCUUAAGUUCCUUGGACAAUCCCCAUAAUAAUAUAAUAUCAAGCUUCUGAACAACAGCAUGAUUUCCUGAUCGAGGUACAAGCAUUCUUGUUAAUGUAUACAUGAGCAUGCGUUGCUGUAC
rnacentral:lncRNA from 1 species